AACGAACGCUGGCGGCAUGCCUAACACAUGCAAGUCGAACGAGACCUUCGGGUCUAGUGGCGCCCGGGUGCGUAACGCGUGGGAACCUGCCCUUAGGUUCGGAAUAACUCCCCGUAAGGGGUGCUAAUACCGGAUAAUGUCUUCGGACCAAAGAUUUAUGGCCUUUGGAUGGGCCCGCGUUGGUUUAGCUAGUUGGUAGGGUAAAAGCCUACCAAGGCGACGAUCCAUAGCUGGUCUGAGAGGAUGAUCAGCCACACUGGGACUGAGACGCGGCCCAGACUCCUACGGGAGGCAGCAGUGGGGAAUAUUGGACAAUGGGCGAAAGCCUGAUCCAGCAAUGCCGCGUGAGUGAUGAAGGCCUUAGGGUUGUAAAGCUCUUUUACCCGGGAUGAUAAUGACAGUACCGGGAGAAUAAGCUCCGGCUAACUCCGUG
rnacentral:rRNA from 1 species